GGCUUCGUGGUGCAAUGGUUAGCACACUCGGCGCGUAUUCGAGAAGUCCGUGGUUCGAGUCCUGGCGAGGGCA
rnacentral:tRNA from 1 species